GCUCCCUUUUCACUCUCUCUCUUUCUCUCAUUUCUCUCAAAAAGUUUGAGCUUCUUCUUCUUUCUACUGGGAGAGGGAAGCUGUUUCAAUAAGAGUAAUGUCAUGGAUGGGUCAUUCAAGAGUUCAUCAAGAUUGGAAAUAUUUUGUGAAGAAAGGGAAAGCUUAUGCAGCAACAGUAAUAUUCAUCAUCAACGGACAGCACUGUUCAUCAAUGAGUACCACUACUAGUAAUGUUGUUUUAUUGCUUUAGCAUAUAUACUGGCGUUAUCCUAACUGAGCUUUUCUCCGCUAAUCUUCUUCGAUAAGUCUUCAUCAUCUUUCUUUUUCUCUUGUUUUCUAAAACCAUCGAUCUUCCUUGUAUUGGAUCAUAUUCCUUCUUAUCUUCCCUUUCUAUCGUUGUCUUGACCUUGUAAGACCUUUUCUUGACCUUGUAAGACCCAGCUUCAAUCUCUUCUUCUCCGCUCUUUAAUCCUUCGUAAACCCAUUUUCUUCGCUUCUCUUUUUGUGUUUCCCACUCAACUCAUAUUCUCUUCUCCUGUCUAUCCCUCUUGAGCUUUUUCACAAAUCAAAAAUCACCAUGAAAAUGGGCAUUCCUCAAAAUCAUACCCGUUUGGGAGUACCCAUCUGAAAUUCGAUCAAGUAAAGCUAGAUUUUCUUACUACAACUCCGGCUUUAUCUCAGCUUAUUUAUUUCUUUCUUCUUUUAGCUAGGGUUUUUUGUUUUAUUGUGUCUGACACUGAAGAAGAACAAUGAUGAAACCAUAGUGGUAAAAGUCAUUCCCCCAAGUGACGAGUUCAUGGAGGUCGUGACUUCAGAGAGUUUAAGACCUACAUCUUAGUCAGUCCAUUAUUAGUUUAGUUUUCCACUAGUGGGGUAUUUUCCAGCAAGUCAAGUAUACGUUUGUCUCAAGCGUACCAACUGAUAGUGUAACAAGAAUCAGUGGAAUUAAUACAACGAGAAAAAACUCACUUUCAUGUGUUCUUUUGUUUUUGUUCUGAGGGUUUUAAUGUGUAUUUGAAGCCAUGGAUAUCAUGACAUAAGUUUUUAAUCUUACAUGAUGCGUUCUUGGCUGAUUAAAAUGACUGAUAAUUUUUCUUUUAAAAUGUAUGAUAAUGGUGUUAUAUACUGUACUUAGUAUUUUUUAAAGUGCAAAAUUAAUCUUAAUAGUUGA